UGGCUCAGAGGUUAAAGCGUCUGCCUCCAAUGCAGGAGACCCGGGUUCGAUCCCUGG
rfam:TPA: Bos taurus chromosome 10, whole genome shotgun sequence.